rnacentral:rRNA from 1 species
AGCCUACGGGGGGCAGCAGUGAGGGAUAUUGGUCAAUGGGGGAAACCCUGAACCAGCAACGCCGCGUGAGGGAAGACGGUUUUCGGAUUGUAAACCUCUGUCCUCUGUGAAGAUAAUGACGGUAGCAGAGGAGGAAGCUCCGGCUAACUACGUGCCAGCAGCCGCGGUAAUACGUAGGUGGCAAGCGUUAUCCGGAUUUACUGGGUGUAAAGGGCGUGUAGGCGGGGAAGCAAGUCAGAUGUGAAAUUCCAGGGCUCAACCCUGGAACUGCAUUUGAAACUGUUUUUCUUGAGUGAUGGAGAGGC